GAGUGAGAGUGAGAGCUGCGUGUCUGUGCCGUUCUUUCACCUCUCCUCACUAUUUCCCCUGUUUAAGAGAGUAGAGACUGACAGACAGAGAAGUACGAUGGCUGCAGUCAUGUGGAUUCAAAUGUCUUCAUUCCUGCUGCUGAUGCUUCAGAUUACAGCAGAAACAACAGGACAGACUUUGUUCUCCUUCAGAGCUGCCAGAGCUGGACAUGACAUCACUUUGUCUUGUGAAAAUGUGAUAGAUGGUCAACAUGACUGCAGCUAUACUAACUGGAUGUUCACUGAUUCAAGACAGACACCAGCAGUAGAGCUGGUUGUUCAUGGACAGAUUAAUGAAAAUGCUAAAGCUGAAUACACCAGACUGAGUGUUACAGCGAACUGUUCUCUGCUUAUAAAGAAGGUACAAGCUGAGGAUGUUGGUCGUUACACCUGCACACAGUACAAAACAAGAGGAGGACAAGAAGAAGGUCCAGACUUUACAGUUGAUCUGUCUGUUAUUAACAUGACUGAACAUGAGAACAACAAUAAAGUCAUUGUGAACUGCUCUGUGCUGACACAUGAACACUGUAGACACACAGUGGAGUGGCUGCAUGAGGGUGAAAAGAAAAUAUCAGACGAGGAGAUAAAACCAGGUUCCUGCUCUGUGACUGUGACAUUUAAAAGAUCUCACCGUGAUCAGAAGUUACAGUUUUAUAAUUCAUUGAAGUGCAAAGUGACAGAUGGUUACACUAAAGAAGAACAACUGUUUCCCUUCAAACUCAAGUCCUCAGGUGAGAAAACAGGUGAAAACAAAAAGUCAACGACUGCAAAAUUCGCCUCAACAACAACAACAACGAGAACAAUAACAACGAGAACAACAAAAUCUUCUCUAGAAUCAAAAAAAUCCUCACAAGGUUUUCUGUCCAGAUGCAUCAUCGUGUCUGUGGGUUUAGCAUCACUCCUAAUAUCUGCUGUUACAGUCAACAUGUGGACAAAAACCAAAGGAAUAAAAACAAAGAUGGAAGGAAACACUGUGCAUAAAGAUGAAGAUGGUGACGCAGUGAACUAUGAAAACACUGCAGACUCUCCUGCUUCUGUCAGACUCCACAGAUCAACAACUUCAACAUCAACUCAUCACAAAAAUGAAUCAUAAUAUCAUUAAUAUUUCCUGACCUUUACUUUUUGAUUUUAUCUCAUAUGUAGGAGCAAAAUUCUUUUCUUUGUGCACUUAGCUUCAACUAUUAAGAAAAAUAACUUCAAAUAAUCAUUUAUUCCUUUUUCAUGAUAAUCGAUGUAUGUACACAGAUGAAUCACAGAACAAUCCACUCAGCCAAUAAAACCCUUUAAGCAAACUGCACAAGAGGUGACAAGUCAGAGAAACAGAUCAGGAGAAAAACAGGUGGCAGUGAUGUCUAAAUGAAGCUUUCUGAAGUGCACACAGUCGUCUUUGGUGACAUCUGGUGGACAAAAGUUUGAAGAGCAGCUUGAAUGUACAACUGUUUCAUCAUGAUUGCUCACUCUACAGAGCUCAGCUGACAGCUUUUGUGUGAUAUCAUAAACAGUCCUGUUUAAACAUAUACAGGGUGUGGUCUCUCUUUUCUUGUUACUUCUUGAUAUUUGUAAACACAAUAAAGAAAGAAAAAUCUUCAAAUUAAUGUACAAC
ensembl:lncRNA